rnacentral:lncRNA from 1 species
GGUCUUGGAAGGGUCCUGCUGUGCACACCUGCUAUGGCCACCAUCUCUCUCUCUUAUUCAGUGUGUUGCCAAGUCACCAGGAGCGGGACGUGCUUUCUCUAUUACACAGAACAACAAAGAGGGAAUAAGUGGUUCGAUAGCAAGGACUGAUAACUGCCUCACACAAAGAAAGCAUGGGCCUCCCAAAAGCUUUAAAUUACAACUUUGAUGCCACUGAUCAGGGUUCCCGCAGUUGCAACUGGGACAUGGAGAAGCCGCAGAAGAGGCAGGGCAGGCCUGAAAGCACCAUCUCACACUGCAGAGCUCUCAGCUGCCCAAGUGAUGUGCAGAGAAAUCCCCCUUCAUGAUAGACGGAGUUUGAAGUUCUCCUGGACUCUGGCUGCAGGGGCCUGCCCGUUAGUCAAGAAGUAGCCACUCGGGGCACUAUGAGCACUCCUUGGGGAGCUCACGUGGAGGACGACGUCCGCAGCACGGCUGUCCACACCAGCAAUCCUUGCAGCGGGUCAUAUGGGCUUCACGAGGGUAUGAAGAAAACAAAAUGAAAACAAACUCCUGAGCGCUCACUGCUCAUCACCACUCAAUUGCUCACAAUCCUAGAAAAUAUGCCAAGCAGACUCCUGGACGCUAGAAAAAUGGACUAAAUGUGGCUGGAUAAUAUGGUGAAAUGUGCAUUUUUUUCUUCCUUCUCAUUUUCUCUUUCCCUUUUCCUUUCACCCCAAUUUAAGGAGUAGCCUGCCCUAUCUCAGGGGAGGUAUGCAAUGGGACAGAAAAUAAAAAUAACAUGCCAAAUACUUUCCUUCAUGGCUGUAAGCACAGGGAGAGGAGAAGGAUUGUGGAUGGAAGCCUCAGAUCACUGGCCCCAGAGAAGGAGCUUUUUUUUUUUAACUAAUAUUAAAUAAUUGUCUAAAAUUUUUUAAACAACUUUCUAGUAACUCAUACACUAAAGAAUGUAAAAAUACACAUGGAAAGCAUUGACAUAAGGCCAUAUUUUAGCAUCAACCACAGAAACACCUGAACAGGAACCCCCACCAAAAAGAUUUAGGAAGCUUUGAAGUGAGGGUCUGGAGUUAUUUCUGCUUUGAAGCCACUCCUUUAGCUUUACAGCUCCCUAAAGACAGAGAUUAAGCAAGAAGUGAAGUCCUGUGAAGAUAUUUUUGGUACUCUGCUUUCUCAAAAACUUAAGGGAAUUGCACAUUCAUGCUUUUUUUGUGUAAAUGCCUCUGUCCCAGUUUCUGCUUCUCAGCUUCUGAAUGUCAUCCAGCAAGAAGGAUCCGUGAGCGGGAUGCUCCACAGAUGUGAUUCACAAAGUCGCCCCUGCUGGCCUUUUUCCUUCCAUCUGGGGGUCAGCCCAGGUCUAUGGGUAAAUCACAUCCUUCUACCAGGUAAAUAACCAACUGCUCAAACCCAAGAAAGGGUACAGGGCUGGGAGCCAGGGGAGGGAAAGGGCGGCAUCUUACCACUUGACUCAAUUUUCUGUUUGUAUCAAAGGAUUUUUUAAAAAUAAACAUUUUAUUUUGGAGUAAUUUUAGAUUUACAGAACACUUGCCAAGAUAAUACAGAGAAUUAUACUGUAUACCUCUCACCCAGUUUCCCCUAAUGUUAACAUCUUCCAGUACAUGGCACAUUUGUCAAAACAAGGAAAACAAUAUUAGUACAUUAUGGUUAACUAGUAUUCAUUCCGAUUUCCCCAGCUUUUCCACUGAUGUCCUUUUUCUGUCCCAGGAUACCAUUGUAUUUUGUGAGGCAUUAUUUUAAAAUUUAAUCUUUAUUUUUGUAAAGGUUGUACACGUUUAUGGUUUAAAAAGUGAAAUGAUCGUAUGUGACUUGUAACAAAGAAACGCAGUCUUCUGCCCAAACCCUCCUCCACGCCAGUUCCCUUCUCCCAAAGGCAAAUGAUUCCAGCUUCCUCAUUGCUUUCACUGCCCUCCCUUCGGUCAGCCAUGCUGGCCUCUGCGCUGUUCCUCCAACAUGCCAGGCCUACUCUCAUUUUUUUUUUUUUUCUUGAGGAAGAUUAGCCCUGAGCUAACAUCCGUGCCCAUCUUGCUCCACUUUAUAUGUGGGAUGCCUACCACAGCAUGGCUUGCCAAGCGGUGCCAUGUCUGCACCCUGGAUCCGAACUGGUGAACCCCAGGCCACCGAAGCAGAACGUGCGAACUUAAUCGCUAUGCCAUUCUCAUUUUAAGGCUGAAUCUUUGCUCAAAUGUCUCCUUUCCAAAGAGGUCUACCCUGACCACCCUAUUUAAAAUUGUAAUACUUCUCACCCAUGCGUUCCCAAUUGCUCUCACUCUGCUUUUUCUUUCUCACACUAUGUAAUUUAUGUAUUAUGUACAUUUUUUAUCAUCUCUCUUUCUCUACUGGAAGGUAAGCUCUAUGGAGGCAGAGGUAUUGCCACUGAUGAGUCCUAAAUACCCAGAACAGUGCUUGGCACACAGUAGUCAUUCAAUAAAUCUUUGUUGGAUAAUUAAAUGAAUGAAUGAACAUUGAGAGCAAAGGAAGCAGACAGAAAGGCGUAAGUUCUUUCCUCUUCCAGCUCUGCAAUAUCCCUCUAGUUCCCUUAUUGACAGGGCCUAACAUGGAGCCAGCUGGCAAGGGAAAAACGCAGUUUGCAAAGUUCUGGCCCCAGCAUCACAGAGCAAAGUGUAGAAGGGUGGGUUUGAAGCUGAGACACAAUAGUGUAAUAACUGGUGCACACACACACAUUUAUCCUGCCCUAAUCUUGACAAUAUAGUUAUAUUUGAACUUUUGGUUAAAUCUAUAUUUACUGUUUAUGUUAUGGUUAAUAUAUAACAUUGUUUAGAGCCGAGUCAUGUAACGUGCUAUGAUAACAUUUCCUUUCUUGUAUAGCUUUCUGUUUUUCCUGGAUUUAAUAAUUGCCUUAUCUUUCUAUGGCUCAAUUUCAUCCCCAAAAUUCUCACAUAGAACCAUAGAACUCCUCUCAAUACAAACACAUCAGGAGUCUAUUAGCUCAGUUCUUUCCUUAGCUACAUCUUUCCUUGCAGUCCUCUGUCCUCCCACCUUGUGUUUCUGACUGUUAAGCUUCUUGAUUCCUGUGGUUAUGUCUUCCCAUAUUCUGUAACAGCCUUUCAUUUCCACAUAGUCAAAUGUAUCAGAUGAUCCAUCAGUUCUUUUAUUUUUCUUUCCUCCUGGAGCCCUGUACCCUCCUUCUCCAGGCAGGUUGUUAAUCUCAAGGCCUGUUGCAUAGUUGUUGUUCUGGAAAGUUCCUUCCCUAUCGUCCUGGAUGUCUUCUCUCUCACGUUGAAUCUUCCAUUUCCUGAAUCCCAAGCUUCCUCUUUCUUGGUGUUUGAGGCUCACAUCGUGCAGUGUCUUCAUGAUAAAUUAUACACAGUAGAUAAGCAUUUUUCAUGUCUGAACUGGCCUGCUCUCAGACUUGAUGGACAGUUUGUUUGGGUAAGAAAAUCUAAGUUGAAAACUAUUUUCCUCAGAAUAUUGAAGGUAUUGUUCCAUUGUCCUCUAAUUUUCAAGUUGCCAUUGAAAAGUCCCAUGUUAUUCUGCCUCUCAGUCCUUUAUAUGUAAACUAUUCUCCUUUUGUGGACUCCUCUCUGGACUGUAGGACCUUCCUUGUUUCCUGUGUUUUUCAUUUGUUUGUCUGUCCAUUUUGGUUUCUGGUGAUCAUGACUAUUUACUCAUAUGUGAAAGUGAGAAGCCAAAAAGCUGAUGUCCAGUGCGCAUGGUGGGGCUUAUUGAAAACUAGCCAUUUUGUUGAUAAAUCCUUUCUGUCAGUAUUUCCUCUUAGACUGGUCAGUUCUUCCAGGUAGAAGUGAUUCUACCUGGGUAGAAGUGGUCAACAUGAUUUAGGUAUUUCUGAUGAGAGCGUAUUGGGGAAGGGAGCCUGCUCAGGAUGUGGGCUCUCACUUAAUCCCACUCUUUUCCAUUUGGUACUCUGCUCUGCCCCACCGCUGUACCCUGAGUCCUCAACUCCAAAGCUCCUUUGGCUCAGUCUCUGCAGAGAAUGCAUUUGCUCCUGUUCCCUGCCAGAGUGUUCAAUCGCCUGGCUGUGUGAGGUAGGAAAAGGGAUAUGAAGUCUAGAGUCACACUCUGAACCAUUGGAGUCACACUCUGAACCAUUUCCUGGCUCUACCACUGUGUGACCCUGAGCAUGUCAUGUAGGAGCCUCAGUUUCCUCUGAAAUCUGAGGGCCUUUGAGACACAUGCGGUCUCUAGGGCUCUCUCAGCCCUGGCCUCUGUGAUGUAUGAAACUUCACAAGGUGGAGUUCUCUGCCUAAUGAGUAAUACAGACAGGAAGAUACAGGAGGUCAAAAAAGGGGAGGUGACAGUGGGACAGGGUGGUAGGGAGACAUCAAAGAAAAGGUGAGACUUGAGAAGGACUAGGGCAAGUCAGAGAAGUGGAGGAGCGAGCACCUCUUCAGGUGGUCCAAGUGGAAGAUAUAUUGGGCAGGAUUUUCACAGCACUUUUGGUGCCCAGUAAGUAGACAGGGGAUGAUGGAGUUGGAGAGUAAAUUUGGGUCAGAUUGUGAGGAAUUUGAGUCUCCUCUCUAAAUCAGUGGAUCUGAGGAUUAAAAUCAUCUGGAGAGCUUUUUAAAAUGCCAGAGAGACUUUAUAAAUCAGAAUGUCAGAGAGUAAAGCCCAGGAACCCCGAUUUCUUUAAAGUUGCCACAUGACUCCAACAAACUUGAAAGUUUUGAAAUCCCUUCCUUAGGCAAUGAACCAUGGAUAAUUUGUAAUCAGGAAUCAUGAUAGAAGUGGGAAUUUUAGAAAGAUGAAUUUGACAGCCAUAUGCAAGGUGGACUGGAGGUUGAAGGACAGGAGACAAGGACCUAUAGGAAGCAAGCUCACUGCCCCAGGCAGAGGGUCAUGAAGGCCUAUAGAAGGGAAGUGACUAAGGAGAGAGAAAGAAGAGACUGUACCAAUCCAUCUGUUAUGGUUUGAAUUGUGUCCUUCCCAAAUUCAUGUGUUGAGGUCCUAACCCCCCUCAGAAUGUGACCUUAUUUGGAAAUAGGGUCAUUGUAGAUAUAAUUAGUUAAGUUAGGAUGAGGUCAUUAAGGUGGGCCCUAAUCUAAUAUGACUGCAUCCUUAUAAAAAGAGGAAAUUUAGACACUGGCACAGACACACAUAGAGGAAAGACAAUGUGAAGAGACACAGGGAGAAGACAGCCAUCAACAGACUAUGGAGAGAGGUCUGGAACAGAUCCUUCCCUCACAGCCCUCAGAAGGAACCAACCCUGCCAACACCUUGAUUUUGGACUUGUAGCCUCCAGAACUGUAAUACAAUAAAUUUCUGUUGUUUACGCCAUCCAAUUUGUAGUACUUUGUUAUGGCAGCCCUAGAAAAAAAUACACCAUACUUUUGGAAACACGUUCCUAGAUUCAAGUUACCUCCUCUUCACUUUCUUGUGAGGAAUGAUUCCCCAAAGCCACCUUUCUGAGGGGGCUGGAAGCAGUGGUUGCAGAGUAAGGCAUGUAUUUCUGACACUGUAGGAUGCUCUUCAACCUGAGGAGUGAGUGCAGGGCUGACUUUUCUGGGUCAUUGGUCAGUUUGUUCCCAGGACCCACCUGAGAAAUCAAAGAACCAACUCCAGUGAUUGGAAAUUGCUGGACAGAAAUGCCCAUUCUCCCCACCUGAGGAAGUAAUCAACGCCAAGAAUGUCCAACUGUGAGUAAAGCCACAGAAGAGAAGGGAGACUCAUGUCCGUGGAGCCAUUAACAACCCACUGGUGGCUCAUCCAGAGAGAACGGAUCUGCAAGAGGUGGAACAACCUACAAAAAAAGGUAAACCCUCGCUUUCUCAUUUUAUGACUUGGCCUUUGCUGAAAUAACUAUCCUCCUUGGCUAAACAAAGAAUUUCCAAGAACUCUAUAUAUCAAAGUCAAUGUCAUGAUGACUGAUGUAACACUGUGGGGCCAGGGACAGGCAAGUCUACCACAGAAUUCUUGGCCUCCAGCCAUUCAGUGCUGCCCUUGCUAACAUCCUUGGCCCCUUUGGCCCUUUUACCUGCCAAUGCUUCCAACACCAACCCUUACUCUAGGUCACCCACCAUCUGCUCACUCCAGGGCUGCCAAAUUUUGCUAGAGAAAAGUAUUAUAACUGUACCACUGGGGCUGUAUUCCCACUCCGCAACCACAUGUUGGCCCUUCCUGCUCCCACAGUUAUCCGUCUGAAAUUGGCUGUCUGUUGCUUCCCUUGCAAAGAAUUUCUAGAUUCCACAAGUCUCCAAUUUCGUCCCCAUGUCUCUUUCAUCUGAGAAGGUCAUUUUCAAUUUCCUGUGAAGCAAAAAGUCUUCAGGCAUACACUACCUCAACUCUAUUUCUCUCCACCUUAGCAUUUCUCUGUCCACAUCCAUCUUCUCCUGGGUUGCUCCUAUUUCAGAGAAUAAGGUGAUGUUUUUAUUUCCUUGUCCAGGCAAACCCAACUCUGCUCUGGAUCCUAUCCCUCACUGUAACAUCAAUUAUUUCAUUUAUUUAAAAAGCACUUUUAUUACAGAAAAUUUUAAACACAUGCAAACGAUCUUACUUACUUUUUCAAAGUAUUCAAGUAUUUUCAAACUCCUCUGGCUUUCUUGCCUGCAAGUUUAGUUCUCCAGCCUUAAAAGCAAAUUUUUUAAAGACUAUCCUAAUCUUGCUACUCCCUUGAGUAAAAGAAAUUACUCCCUAAUUUCUUUCCAUUUGUUUCCAUUUUUUUUCCAGAUGUUGCCAAUGAGUUAUUUCCUUUCUCCCCUUUUUUUCUUAACUCCCGAAAUCUAGCUUCAAUCUCUAUCACUCUACUGAAAUUCCUCUUUCACCUGCCUGAAAUUAUACAGUGAGAAAGGGGUUGGGCAGAAAAUCUAUGCUAGGGCUUUCUGGCUGAGGCCAACACCACUGCUUGGCACUGCCUGUGCUAACAAGGAGCAUUUUGACCUCAUAGGAGCAGAAACACAAAGGUUCAUGAGGCCACGACUUGGCAUGGGUGAGCACCUUACACAUGCCGUGUAAGGGACCAUGCUAAGGACUGCGGAUAUGGAGGGGAACACACAGGGCUUCCUGCUUUCAGGUUGCUCAGUGUCUUGGGGAAGGGAGACACUAAUUACACAUACUCACAAAUGUGAGUCCAAUUAAUUACAAUUGUGACGGGCUCAAGGGAGCCAAGAGACUAGUCUUCUUAGGAUAGGUGCAUGGUUCUGUAAGGAAAAGGAAGGAGAGGGUGUGUCCAUUAAGGUGACAGGAGCUGCCUGAACAACUGCCAACACCUUGCUGGCCUAUCUCCCGACAAGCUCAUCUGAUCGGUUUGUAGAUGAAUUCCUGGUCUGUGGGCAGGUUUCCUCCCUGCAGGGAUGGGGGAACAUAGGCCCUUCAUCUUCGGGAUCCACCCUCCUGUGGGCCAGGCCUAGACUUGUCCUCUGACUUGCUUUCACAGCAGUGACCACAAGGAGUACACUGUAUUGUUCAGGUUCUUGAUCUCUUUCUCUGUUUUUGUUUUUAUUUUGUGCUUGUUUUGUUUUAUACUAGUAAAGAUAUUGGUUUGGGUGAGGGCUGUGCUCUGGUGGUGGGCCAGGCUGUAAAUGGUCUUUUAUUCAUGACACAUGUUUAGCACUGACUAUGAGGUAAGCAAGAUGCUGGGAUACUGGAGGACUCAAAGGGAAUAAGCUAUGCCUUUGAUCUACAAUGGCCUAUGUCUCAUCAGGAUAAACAGAAAUUUUGGUAGUUAGAAAGUGGAAUCGGCUCAAGAACUAUUUAGAUACUUAGAUUAUUCUGGAGAUAAAAAUGGAUCCGCUACGAUGCUUCAGCUUCGUGUAACAAUUUCUGGCCCAAGGUAGUUUCAGUGCAGGUGGUUAUGAUCUCACCGAGUCCAGAGUCAGGAGGCUCCAGCGUUUAUUCACCCUGUCAGCAGGGGCAGGCCAUGGCAGCUCCUCUGGGAUCCUCUUCCAGAGGCUCUCACCGAGGCCCUCGGACAGCAGCCCACCCACCCCGCACUGAUUUCCGUUUCCCAGAGGUCCCCUCCUCAGAACUGAUAUCAGAUGGGAGAAGCUUAGGCAGCAAAGGGAACCUCAGAAUCCGGGGUGUGGUUAGGGUCACCAUGGAAACGCCUGGGCGGAGCUUUGGCGAUGGGCGGGUCCCCAGGGAGGACUCACAUCACGUGAGGAACAGCCCCCCUUACGCCAGCUCUCAGAUCCCGUGGUCCUGGGAGCACCAGGUGGCUGCCCUGAGUGGGCCGGUCACUGCCCCCACCCCCAUUUGCUCCACCUGUGAAAGGAAGGCUGUGCGAAGGAGGAGCGAGAACUGGGUGCUGCAAUGGGCAAGGGUCGGUGUGAACACCCCCCACCCCUAGGGGAUGGGAGAUGGUGUCAGGGUCGUGACGUCAAGAGGGCCACAGUGAGAGCCGCCUGGCGAUUGGCCCGCCAAGCUCCGUGGUGAUUGGCCGCACAAGCAAGACCAGCUGAGAAUCACUUGGCGAUUGGCCAGGAGCGCAGCUGUGACGUCACAGGGAGGCAUUGUGACGAGUCAGGGUGGUUAUAAAAGCCGUGGCACCUAUCUGAGGCCUUGCUGAGAGACAGGGCACCUCCGCCUCUACUCCUUCACUUCGCUAUCUCCACCACAUUCUUCAACCCGAAGGACAGCGCGCCCUCCACCCAUCGUCCCGCCCCAGGCCUCUCACCCACACUAUGGGCUUCACCUUCCUGUUCGCCACACCAUCCUGCCCCUCUGCGGUCCCGCGAGGCCCGCACCUGCAUCUGGCGCCUCAGGGACCCAAACCCGGAGGCGCUCCUCACCUACAUUCCCAUUUGGAGUCAGAGUACAACAGACCACUCACCUGAGGUGCUGGUGGCCCAGGGACCUUCAGAUCUCCGGCAUCGAAACUAGAUUCAGGAUAGGAUAUCUGAGAGCCCUCCGACCACGUCAGCACACAGCAGCAGACACCCGGCCAAUCAGGAGCCCUCUGAGCCAGCUCAGCACAGGGUCAGUGAGCACCCUGGACACCUAGCCAACUAGGAGCCUCCCACCCCCAGCGCAACAAAGAGCUACCAAUGACCCCCCAACCCAGUUGCACACCAGGUGUCUGGCCCCAAGUUUUCCCUUUUCGUUCUGCGAUGAGCCCUCCUCUGCCUGGGAUGGUCAGCACCCCUGCCAGGCCCAGGUGAGCUGGCUGGAAGAGGCUGCUACCUGGUAGAAAAAAAAUACCGAAUACCAGUCAUGUGCCACCCCCUCAACCAUGCUGCACUCAGACAAUCUGAGGUCAGAAGUUGCAGAGAGUGAGAAAAGCAGCCUCGGAAACUUCGCAUUGCCUCCUGGCUACCUUGGCCCUGGCCAUGUCCCUGGCCCCCAGGUGGUGCCCCAACCACCAGAAAGAGAAGAACCAGUCCCAGCUGCCCCCAAACCCCACCACGAUUCAAUCAAUCUGUAAAACAGAAGGAAGCCCAGAAAACUCGACAAAACAACCUGAACACAAAAAUGUGGGCAUCUUGACCCAGACAUGAGAAAUCUGAAGCCACCAGUCCAGGCGGAAAUCCAUCUUCCAGUGGAGGGACCAGGUCAGCGGCUGUCUGUGAGGGCAGAGGUUGCUGCCUCUGUUGGAGCCAGGCUCAGAAACGUCCAUGGUUUGUGGCCUAGCCAGUGCUUGGGGCCAUUCAGAGUGCGGUCCCCCUGAUGGGUCACUGUGCUGAGGUGCUGGUGGGCUCAUGGCCUGAAGACCUCUGGCCUGGGACCAACUUCAGCUGUCCUGGUGGCAUAUCCCUUGGGGAGCCUUUUUCUUCUGGGAGUUCUCUUGUUCAGAGGGAGCAAAGGCUGCCAUGCCUUCAAACCAGAGAAUAACCAGAGUUGGAAGAGCUGUCCAUGGAAAUCCGAUUUAUAAAGGUUUGACAGGCUUUGAGGGAAAGCUGAAAUUGACAAAAACAGCUCUUAACAUCAGCAGGGAAAUUAGUAAGAAUCUGUCUGAGAAUGUCUCUGAGCUAAAGGAUUCCCUAAAACUGUGUGAAGAAGAAAACCAAAAGCUGAAAAAUCUGCUUGUCAACUUGGCGUCACAGGAAAGACACGAUUUAAAGAAUUUGCCAGGGGACAGGGCAUCCGUGGACAUGGCUGGAGAUGAGGAGGGGAACUAUGAGCAAGUCCGGAGGAGUCCCUGGCCCUGAGCGUAGAGUCCUUGGCCAAGCUCCUCCAGGCUAAGGGCAGGUCCUCCAGAUUGGAGAGGGAGGUGGACAUGCUACAAAAACAGGCCAAGCAGAGAUGUGAGUGGCAGGCCGACGUCUGUGAGCUGGAAGGCUUCUGCUUUGAAAUGCAGGGGUUCCUAGAAGCUUUUGCCUUCCAGGCAACAUUUUCAUAGUAGCACUUAGAGGUGACAUCCCUGCAUGCGCCCACCCCAGGAGUACAUAGAAGAGGAGCUGGGGCAGAAUGUGAGUCACCUCCUUGGAUGGAGGUGGCACGAGCUGCAUGAUGUAUGUGAGUUUUCAAUAUAUUGCAAUGCAGAAGAAGUGUCCCCAAAUGAUUGUGAUGUACAGCCUGGGAUCACGGUCACAGCAGCAUGCCACACAAGUUGUCACAUUCUCCAGCUGGUUGGGUCUCCACAGGGCAAGCGUCUAACUUGGCCCUCAGAACAGAGCUGUGAGGCGGGCAGGGGUCUCCACGGCUCUGAGAAAGUGUUGGUGAACUCCAGAGAGCUGACACUGAGCGCAGCCUGCCCUUCCCCGUCAAUACUUUUCGCAGUUGUUGCCUCCUCUAAAACUCAAAGCCAACCACUGAUGUGGGUGCCAUUCUGAUAGAAAGGAAAGCAGAAGCAGAGUGUCCACACACAGGUAUUUCUGUGUAGACCAUUUCUGGCCUGAGACCUCACAGCAAGUUUGUGGCAAAACUUGGCUUUGGCCCUGAUGUUAUGGCUCCAAACUCCAGCCACGGCAGCAGGUGACGAGACUAUAAAGUGUGGCUAGCAAGUGCAGCCCCAGUUAUGUGCUCAAACCAGAUGGAGCAAAUUUAAGUCUGACCAAAACUACAGCUGCUCAGCCUGGUCAGACACAGCUGGGAAAUUAUGGAACAAAUUGUGUGGGAAGUCAAGUCAUCAAGGUGAACUUGGGAGCCACUGGGGAGGCAGCUCCUCCAGUCCACUUGCCAAGCCAGCUGCGGAGGAGAGCUCCCCAGGCUGGGCAGCCUUGCACUUGGUGGGGGUGCCGCUGCUGCCUCUGACCUCCUGCAUGCCCCGCUUCUGAGAGAAUGGGAUCUCGGCAGCACUGAGAGCCAAAGGCAGAGGCUCACUCUCCGAGCCAGGUCAGCCCCUCAGCCCUCAUCACCCCUCCACCUUCCCAUCCCCAAAAAGAGCCAGCAGGACCCUCAGGGAGCUCCAGAACCAUCAGCAUCAGCAUAGCUAGGAUGCGGGCAUGCCCAGGACCAGGAGGUCGCACCCUUAGAGAAGUCAGGGUGGGGCCAGAGGAAGUAGCAGGACAGAGGAUUUGAAUGGAGAAAGAUGGAGUGUGGUGACGGCUGCUGACUUGUCCACUGGGCAAGUCACCAGGCAAGACCCUCCACCAGCAAAAAGAUUACAACCGGCUGAAGGCUCAGGUGAUGGUUCGCAUUUUUUAACAACAAAGUAUUUUUUAUUAAGGUAUGUACAUUUUUUAGACAUAUGCUACUAUACACUUAAUAGACCACAGUAUAAUGUAAAUAUAACUUUAAUAUGCCCUGGGAAACCAAAAAUUCAUAUGCAUAUGCAUAUGAAAUUCGUAUGCAAUAUUUGCUUUAUUGUGGUGGUCUGGAACAGAACUCACAAUAUCUUUGCGGUAUGCCUAUAUGACAGUGGUCCCAUAAGAUUAUAUAGCCUAGGUGUGUCGUAGACUAUACCAUCUAGGUUUGUGUAAGUUCAUUCUAUGAUGUUCACACAACGACGAAAUCACUUUACGAUGUAUUUCUUAGAACAUGUCCCCGUUGUUAAGCCAUGUAUGACUGUAGUGCCACAGCCUGUAAAGGUAUCUGAGCCUCUGCUCCCCUCUCUGUAAAACGAGAGUAUUAGCAGCAUCUACCUCCUGUGUCGUUGGGAGGACAGGAUGAGAUAAAGUACACAGAGCAUAAUACCAGGCCUACAGGAGGUUCUUAAUAAAUGUCCGAUAUUAUUAUUUUUGUCACAUCACUACAAUCAAACUGAAUUGCCUGGUUUCCCCACCCAAGUUCUAGGAUUUAUUUCCCAUCCCUCUACUUUUGCUCAUACUGUUCCCUCUGCCUGCACCUUCCACCCAUCAUCUCCACCUUCUGAAAUCCCUCCCAUACUCAAAG